AUACGGAGGGUGCGAGCGUUAAUCGGAAUUACUGGGCGUAAAGCGUGCGUAAGCGGUUUGCUAAGUCAGAUGUGAAAGCCCCGGGCUUAACCUGGGAACUGCAUUUGAUACUGGCAGACUAGAGUAUGAUAGAGGGGGGUAGAAUUCCUGGUGUAGCGGUGAAAUGCGUAGAUAUCAGGAGGAAUACCAGUGGCGAAGGCGGCCCCCUGGAUCAAUACUGACGCUGAGGUACGAAAGCGUGGGGAGCGAACAGGAUUAGAAACCCUAGUAGUCC
rnacentral:rRNA from 1 species